rnacentral:rRNA from 1 species
UUAAGCGACUAAGCGUACACGGUGGAUGCCCUGGCAGUCAGAGGCGAUGAAGGACGUGCUAAUCUGCGAAAAGCGUCGGUAAGGUGAUAUGAACCGUUAUAACCGGCGAUGUCCGAAUGGGGAAACCCAGUGUGAUUCGUCACACUAUCGUUAACUGAAUACAUAGGUUAACGAGGCGAACCGGGGGAACUGAAACAUCUAAGUACCCCGAGGAAAAGAAAUCAACCGAGAUUCCCCCAGUAGCGGCGAGCGAACGGGGAGCAGCCCAGAGUCUGAAUCAGCUUGUGUGUUAGUGGAACGGUCUGGAAAGUCCGACGGUACAGGGUGAUAGUCCCGUACACCAAAAUGCACAGGUUGUGAACUCGAAGAGUAGGGCGGGACACGUGGUAUCCUGUCUGAAUAUGGGGGGACCAUCCUCCAAGGCUAAAUACUCCUGACUGACCGAUAGUGAACCAGUACCGUGAGGGAAAGGCGAAAAGAACCCCGGCGAGGGGAGUGAAAAAGAACCUGAAACCGUGUACGUACAAGCAGUGGGAGCACCUUCGGGUGUGACUGCGUACCUUUUGUAUAAUGGGUCAGCGACUUAUAUUCUGUAGCAAGGUUAACCGUAUAGGGGAGCCGCAGGGAAACCGAGUCUUAACUGGGCGUUAAGUUGCAGGGUAUAGACCCGAAACCCGGUGAUCUAGCCAUGGGCAGGUUGAAGGUUGGGUAACACUAACUGGAGGACCGAACCGACUAAUGUUGAAAAAUUAGCGGAUGACUUGUGGCUGGGGGUGAAAGGCCAAUCAAACCGGGAGAUAGCUGGUUCUCCCCGAAAGCUAUUUAGGUAGCGCCUCGUGAACUCAUCUUCGGGGGUAGAGCACUGUUUCGGCUAGGGGGUCAUCCCGACUUACCAACCCGAUGCAAACUACGAAUACCGAAGAAUGUUAUCACGGGAGACACACGGCGGGUGCUAACGUCCGUCGUGAAGAGGGAAACAACCCAGACCGCCAGCUAAGGUCCCAAAGUCAUGGUUAAGUGGGAAACGAUGUGGGAAGGCACAGACAGCCAGGAUGUUGGCUUAGAAGCAGCCAUCAUUUAAAGAAAGCGUAAUAGCUCACUGGUCGAGUCGGCCUGCGCGGAAGAUGUAACGGGGCUAAACCAUGCACCGAAGCUGCGGCAGCGACACUAUGUGUUGUUGGGUAGGGGAGCGUUCUGUAAGCCUGCGAAGGUGACCUGUGAGGGUUGCUGGAGGUAUCAGAAGUGCGAAUGCUGACAUAAGUAACGAUAAAGCGGGUGAAAAGCCCGCUCGCCGGAAGACCAAGGGUUCCUGUCCAACGUUAAUCGGGGCAGGGUGAGUCGACCCCUAAGGCGAGGCCGAAAGGCGUAGUCGAUGGGAAACAGGUUAAUAUUCCUGUACUUGGUGUUACUGCGAAGGGGGGACGGAGAAGGCUAUGUUAGCCGGGCGACGGUUGUCCCGGUUUAAGCAUGUAGGCUGAUUGUCCAGGCAAAUCCGGAUAAUCAAGGCUGAGGUGUGAUGACGAGGCACUACGGUGCUGAAGUAACAAAUGCCCUGCUUCCAGGAAAAGCCUCUAAGCAUCAGGUAACAUCAAAUCGUACCCCAAACCGACACAGGUGGUCAGGUAGAGAAUACCAAGGCGCUUGAGAGAACUCGGGUGAAGGAACUAGGCAAAAUGGUGCCGUAACUUCGGGAGAAGGCACGCUGGUGUGUAGGUGAAGUCCCUGCGGAUGGAGCUGAGACCAGUCGAAGAUACCAGCUGGCUGCAACUGUUUAUUAAAAACACAGCACUGUGCAAACACGAAAGUGGACGUAUACGGUGUGACGCCUGCCCGGUGCCGGAAGGUUAAUUGAUGGGGUUAUCCGUAAGGAGAAGCUCUUGAUCGAAGCCCCGGUAAACGGCGGCCGUAACUAUAACGGUCCUAAGGUAGCGAAAUUCCUUGUCGGGUAAGUUCCGACCUGCACGAAUGGCGUAAUGAUGGCCAGGCUGUCUCCACCCGAGACUCAGUGAAAUUGAACUCGCUGUGAAGAUGCAGUGUACCCGCGGCAAGACGGAAAGACCCCGUGAACCUUUACUAUAGCUUGACACUGAACAUUGAGCCUUGAUGUGUAGGAUAGGUGGGAGGCUUUGAAGCGUGGACGCCAGUCUGCGUGGAGCCAACCUUGAAAUACCACCCUUUAAUGUUUGAUGUUCUAACGUUGGCCCCUUACCGGGGUUGCGGACAGUGUCUGGUGGGUAGUUUGACUGGGGCGGUCUCCUCCCAAAGCGUAACGGAGGAGCACGAAGGUUAGCUAAUCCUGGUCGGACAUCAGGAGGUUAGUGCAAUGGCAUAAGCUAGCUUGACUGCGAGCGUGACGGCGCGAGCAGGUGCGAAAGCAGGUCAUAGUGAUCCGGUGGUUCUGAAUGGAAGGGCCAUCGCUCAACGGAUAAAAGGUACUCCGGGGAUAACAGGCUGAUACCGCCCAAGAGUUCAUAUCGACGGCGGUGUUUGGCACCUCGAUGUCGGCUCAUCACAUCCUGGGGCUGAAGUAGGUCCCAAGGGUAUGGCUGUUCGCCAUUUAAAGUGGUACGCGAGCUGGGUUUAGAACGUCGUGAGACAGUUCGGUCCCUAUCUGCCGUGGGCGCUGGAGAAUUGAGGGGGCUGCUCCUAGUACGAGAGGACCGGAGUGGACGCAUCACUGGUGUUCGGGUUGUCAUGCCAAUGGCACUGCCCGGUAGCUAAAUGCGGAAGAGAUAAGUGCUGAAAGCAUCUAAGCACGAAACUUGCCCCGAGAUGAGUUCUCCCUGAGACUUUAAGUCUCCUGAAGGAACGUUGAAGACGACGACGUUGAUAGGCCGGGUGUGUAAGCGCAGCGAUGCGUUGAGCUAACCGGUACUAAUGAACCGUGAGGCUUAACCUU